CCUACGGGUGGCAGCAGUGAGGAAUAUUGGUCAAUGGGCGCGAGCCUGAACCAGCCAAGUCGCGUGAGGGAAGACGGUCCUAUGGAUUGUAAACCUCUUUUGUCGGGGAGCAAAAGACGCCACGCGUGGCGUUCCGAGAGUACCCGAAGAAAAAGCAUCGGCUAACUCCGUGCCAGCAGCCGCGGUAAUACGGAGGAUGCGAGCGUUCUCCGGAUUUAUUGGGUUUAAAGGGUGCGCAGGCGGAAGAUCAAGGCAGCGGUAAAAUUGAGAGGCUCAACCUCUUCGAGCCGUUGAAACUGGUUGUCUUGAGUGAGUGAGAAGUAUGCGGAAUGCGUGGUGGAGCGGUGAAAUGCAUAGAUAUCACGCAGAACUCCGAUUGCGAAGGCAGCAUACCGGCGCUCAACUGACGCUCAUGCACGAAAGUGUGGGUAUCGAACAGGAUUAGAUACCCGAGUAGUC
rnacentral:rRNA from 1 species